rnacentral:rRNA from 1 species
GUGAAGCUCACUUUGUUAGCAAUACACUGCCAGUAAGGUGCUGCAUGGCUGUCGUCAGCUCGUGCCGUGAGGUGUUGGGUUAAGUCCCGCAACGAGCGCAACCCCCAUCACUAGUUGCCAUCAGGUAACGCUGGGAACUCUAGUGAAACUGCCGUCGUAGGACGUGAGGAAGGAGGGGAUGAUGUCAAGUCAUCAUGGCCUUUAUGCCCAGGGCUACACACGUGCUACAAUGGGGAGGACAAAGGGCUGCAACAUAGUGAUAUGAAGCUAAUCCCAAAAACCUCUUCUCAGUUCAGAUUGGAGUCUGCAACUCGACUCCAUGAAGCUGGAAUCGCUAGUAAUCGUAUAUCAGCAAUGAUACGGUGAAUACGUUCCCGGACCUUGCACACACCGCCCGUCAAGCCAUGGAAGCCGGGUGUACCUAAAGUCGGUAACCGUAAGGAGCCGCCUAGGGUAAAACUGGUGACUGGGGCUAAGUCGUAACAAGGUAACCGU